CCCACAAACUCCAAACACAGUCAGAGGAAGUGAAGAAGCAUAACACCUGAACUGUUGAUGUGUAUCAUCACACUCCUGCAGUCAGCAGCUGAGGUGAAAGUGUCCCUCUGGAGAUCAAAGCAAAGCAUUAACACCAACAGGGAUGAUGGUCCAAUUACCAGAGGGGUCAACUCUUGCUGAAACCUGUUUUCACAGGCAAACAUCAAAAGUGGAGCUGGGAAGGAAGCAGCCACAGUUGAGGAAGUCAUAAAGAUGAAGGCUGAUUGCGCUGAACAGAAGACACACUGAUCUUAGGAUGGGGGGAGACUGUGGAAGUGUGUUGUUACAAGAUAAUGGUGUUUAUGACC